CCCUUAGAUGUUCUGGGCCGCACGCGCGCUACACUGACGAAUGCAACGAGCUCAUAAUAACCUUGGCCGAAAGGUCUGGGUAAUCUCCAAAUUUCGUCGUGAUGGGGAUAGAUUAUUGCAAUUAUUAAUCUUCAACGAGGAAUGCCUAGUAAGCGCAAGUCAUCAGCUUGCGUUGAUUACGUCCCUGCCCUUUGUACACACCGCCCGUCGCUCCUACCGAUUGAAUGGUCCGGUGAAGCGUUCGGACCGUGGCCUUUGGACGGUUCGCCGUCUGUUGGCUGCGGGAAGUUCGUUAAACCUUAUCAUUUAGAGGAAGGAGAAGUCGUAACA
rnacentral:rRNA from 1 species